rnacentral:rRNA from 1 species
GAUGAACGCUAGCGGCGUGCCUAAUACAUGCAAGUCGAGCGAACAGACGAGGAGCUUGCUCCUUUGACGUUAGCGGCGGACGGGUGAGUAACACGUGGGUAACCUACCUAUAAGACUGGGAUAACUUCGGGAAACCGGAGCUAAUACCGGAUAAUAUUUCGAACCGCAUGGUUCGAUAGUGAAAGAUGGCUUUGCUAUCACUUAUAGAUGGACCUGCGCCGUAUUAGCUAGUUGGUAAGGUAACGGCUUACCAAGGCAACGAUACGUAGCCGACCUGAGAGGGUGAUCGGCCACACUGGAACUGAGACACGGUCCAGACUCCUACGGGAGGCAGCAGUAGGGAAUCUUCCGCAAUGGGCGAAAGCCUGACGGAGCAACGCCGCGUGAGUGAUGAAGGUCUUCGGAUCGUAAAACUCUGUUAUUAGGGAAGAACAAACGUGUAAGUAACUGUGCACGUCUUGACGGUACCUAAUCAGAAAGCCACGGCUAACUACGUG